AUUGCACGCUGGCGGCAGGCCUAACACAUGCAAGUCGAGCGAGCGGCGGACGGGUGAGUAAUGUAUGGGGACUGCCCGAUAGCGGGGGCUAACUACUGGAAACGGUAGCUAAUACCGCAUACUAUCGGAUAACCCAUAUGGGAUUGGCUAGUAGGUGAGGUACUGGCUCACCUAGGCGACGAUCCCUAGCUGGUCUGAGAGGAUGAUCAGCCACACUGGGACGGGGACACGGCCCAGAAGCCAAGGGAGACAGCAGUGGGGAAGAUUGAACAAUGGGCGCAAGCCUGAGGCAGCCAUGCCGAGUGUAUGAAGAAGGCCCUAGGGUUGUAAAGUACGUUAAGUCGGGAGGCGUUACCGACAGAAGAAGCACCGGCUAACUCCGUGCCAGCAGCCGCGGUAAUUC
rnacentral:rRNA from 1 species